rnacentral:rRNA from 1 species
AUAGAACGCUGGCGGCAUGCUUUACACAUGCAAGUCGAACGGCAGCGCGGGCUUCGGCCUGGCGGCGAGUGGCGAACGGGUGAGUAAUACAUCGGAACGUGCCCAGUAGUGGGGGAUAGCUCGGCGAAAGCCGGAUUAAUACCGCAUACGACCUGAGGGUGAAAGCGGGGGAUCUUCGGACCUCGCGCUAUUGGAGCGUCCGAUGGCAGAUUAGCUAGUUGGUGGGGUAAAGGCCUACCAAGGCGACGAUCUGUAGCUGGUCUGAGAGGACGACCAGCCACACUGGGACUGAGACACGGCCCAGACUCCUACGGGAGGCAGCAGUGGGGAAUUUUGGACAAUGGGCGAAAGCCUGAUCCAGCAAUGCCGCGUGUGUGAUGAAGGCCUUCGGGUUGUAAAGCACUUUUGGCGGGAACGAAAAGGACUGUGCCAAUACCACGGUUCGAUGACGGUACCCGCAGAAUAAGCACCGGCUAACUACGUG